rnacentral:rRNA from 1 species
ACGUCCCAACAAGCCGAUAAUCGGUACGGGUUGUGAGAGCAAGAGCCCGGAGAUGGAUUCUGAGACACGAAUCCAGGUCCUACGGGGCGCAGCAGGCGCGAAAACUUUACACUGCGCGAAAGCGCGAUAAGGGGACCUCGAGUGCGUGCGCAAAGCGUACGCUUUUCAGAUGCCUAAAAAGCAUCUGGAAUAAGGGCCGGGCAAGACCGGUGCCAGCCGCCGCGGUAACACCGGCGGCUCAAGUGGUGGCCGCUAUUAUUGGGCUUAAAGGGUCCGUAGCCGGACCAGUUAGUCCCUUGGGAAAUCUUACGGCUUAACCGUAAGGCUGCCAAUGGAUACUGCUGGUCUUGGGACCGGGAGAGGCAAGAGGUACCUCAGGGGUAGGAGUGAAAUCCUGUAAUCCUUGAGGGACCGCCAGUGGCGAAGGCGUCUUGCUAGAACGGGUCCGACGGUGAGGGACGAAAGCUAGGGGCACGAACCGGAUUAGAUACCCGGGUAGCCCUAGCCGUAAACGAUGCGAGCUAGGUGUCACGUGGAUUGCGAAUCCAUGUGGUGCCGAAGGGAAACCGUGAAGCUCGCCGCCUGGGAAGUACGGCCGCAAGGCUGAAACUUAAAGGAAUUGGCGGGGGAGCAC